rnacentral:sRNA from 1 species
GCUGGGCGUGGUGGCACACGCCUGUAAUCCCAGCUACUUGGGAGGCUGAGGCAGGAGAAUUGCUUGAGCCCAGGAGACAGAGGUUGCAGUGAGCCAAGGUCGUGCCACUGCACUCCAGCCUAGCUGACAGAGCAAGACUCUGUCUCAAAAAAAAAAAUAAUAAAAAAAGAUAUGAAUGCAUCUAAAGAUAAUUACUCUGUCGCCCAGGCUGGAGUGCAGUGGAGUGAUCUCAGGUCACUGCAACCUCCACCUCCUGGGUUCAAGCGAUUCUCUAGCCUCA